AACGAACGCUGGCGGCAGGCUUAACACAUGCAAGUCGAACGGUUGUAGCAAUACAGCAGUGGCAGACGGGUGAGUAACACGUGGGAACCUUCCUAGGGGUACGGAACAACUCAGGGUAACUUGAGCUAAUACCGUAUACGUCCGUGAGGAGAAAGAUUUAUCGCCCUUAGACGGGCCCGCGUCGGAUUAGCUAGUUGGUGGGGUAACGGCCUACCAAGGCGACGAUCCGUAGCUGAUCUUAGAGGAUGAUCAGCCACACUGGGACUGAGACACGGCCCAGACUCCUACGGGAGGCAGCAGUGGGGAAUCUUGGACAAUGGGCGCAAGCCUGAUCCAGCCAUGCCGCGUGAGUGAAGAAGGUCUUCGGAUUGUAAAGCUCUUUUGCCAGGGACGAUAAUGACGGUACCUGGAGAAUAAGCCCCGGCAAACUUCGUGCCAGCAGCCGCGGUAAU
rnacentral:rRNA from 1 species